rnacentral:miRNA from 1 species
GGUUUCAUUUUUUAAUAGCUGAGAAGUAUUCCACUGUGUGUGUAUGUAUAUGUAUGUGUGUAUGUAUAUAUAUAUACAUACACACACAUAUAUCCCGCAU